rnacentral:misc_RNA from 1 species
CGACGGCGUCUCCACCACGUCUCUUCAGUUGUUGGCACGAGUGCAUUCUCGUCCGACGUCGGUUAUCCUGUGCUGAAUACCUAUCUCUAGGGCAUUGAGUCGGCUAGAAUCUGUUCGUUCCCGCCUUGCGCGGCCGCUCCCCGUGGGCGGCGGUGCGGGGUGGGCCUAAUGGCGCGCGCCGUGCGUCGCACCGCGUUCGUCCUCACGGGCGUUCGGGUCGACGACGCACGGWGCUGCGCACGAUCUCUCGGGUACGGUGCACGAUGUGGGUGCGGGGCGUCAACACGCCUCCGAGCUCCACAAACAAGCGUUCUGCGCUACUUGCGAACGACGGUCGGUUCGGUCUCCGUCCGUGCUCUCGUGGCUCGGUCGGAGCCGUUCCGACGUCGAUG